UACGUAGGGCGCAAGCGUUGUCCGGAAUUAUUGGGCGUAAGGAGCUCGUAGGUGGUUUGUUACGUCUGCUGUGAAAACCUAGGGCUUAACCCUGGGCCUGCAGUGGAUACGGGCAGACUAGAGGUAGGUAGGGGAGAAUGGAAUUCCCGGUGUAGCGGUGAAAUGCGCAGAUAUCGGGAGGAACACCGGUGGCGAAGGCGGUUCUCUGGGCCUUACCUGACACUGAGGAGCGAAAGCGUGGGGAGCGAACAGG
rnacentral:rRNA from 1 species